rnacentral:rRNA from 1 species
AUUGAACGCUGGCGGCAGGCCUAACACAUGCGAGUCGAACGGUAACAGGAAACAGCUUGCUGUUUCGCUGACGAGUGGCGGACGGGUGAGUAAUGUCUGGGAAACUGCCUGAUGGAGGGGGAUAACUACUGGAAACGGUAGCUAAUACCGCAUAACGUCGCAAGACCAAAGAGGGGGACCCUCGGGCCUCUUGCCAUCGGAUGUGCCCAGAUGGGAUUAGCUUGUUGGUGGGGUAACGGCUCACCAAGGCGACGAUCCCUAGCUGGUCUGAGAGGAUGACAAGCCACACUGGAACUGAGACACGGUCCAGACUCCUACGGGAGGCAGCAGUGGGGAAUAUUGCACAAUGGGCGCAAGCCUGAUGCAGCCAUGCCGCGUGUAUGAAGAAGGCCUUCGGGUUGUAAAGUACUUUCAGCGGGGAGGAAGGGAGUAAAGUUAAUACCUUUGCUCAUUGACGUUACCCGCAGAAGAAGCACCGGCUAACUCCGUG